CAAAAUCAUAACACUGCCCAAAUUAAAUACAAUUAAAUCCAAUAAAACUUGGGCCAAGCUUAACCCAAUUAUAGGGCCCAAUUAACCCACUAGCCUAAAACACAAAACAGAGAAACCUAGCAGCAAAAUCAGCAGCCGCGGCAACCUCACCCACGCCUCAACGUCGCCCCAUGUUCAGCACUUUGCGCACGUCCUCCACGACCUUCAUACCUGCGAAAAACUAAUCCAAACGGCAAUAGAUGUAAAAAUAACAUAAUAGAUUAUUAUUUUAUGGUUUAUUAUUAUUAUUUGGGGGUGGGAUAUAAAAGGGUGAUUUCAAUUGGUAAAAGGGGUGAGCAAUAUUGUAUGAAAAAAACAUUAAAGAAAAUACGAAAAUAAGGAAUCAAAAAGGCAAAUUUUUGAAGGUAAUUGUUCUGUUCCUUUUUUUCUUUUUAUUUGUUUUUCCUUUUUCCUUUUCUAUUUUGUUUAUUAAAACAAAAGCAGAAGAGGGAAAUAGAGGAGGACUUACAGUCGCAUACGGCGUUGAGGGAUCUUCAUUCCGUCGUCGGAAUGAGCGGAUCUGGAGCGGAAGAAAAGGGAGGCUGCGGCAAACUCAAAAAUGGCAGAGAAAGGGAAUGGCUUUAGGGUUUUAAAAUGGGAUUUUAUAAGGGUUCAAAAGGGGCCAUUUGCACGAUUGGUCCUUUGCUUUUUGGGGUUGUUUAAAUUAAAUUUAUUAUUUCUUUUAAAUUUUACUGCAUAUUUUAAUAUUGUUUCAAUCUAACCUGUGUUGUUGUGCAGCGUUUCGGAGGGAGGGAUUAAUUUCCCUUUUGAUCCUCCGCUGUCGAUUGUGUGUUCUAUUUAGUCCAUUCGCAUUUUAUUUUUAUUUUUAUUUUUUGUAAAUUUGCCCCAAAUAUGUUAUUUAAGUUUAAAUUAAUCCUUUUUUACUAUAUUAUAUUAUUCGUUAUUAUUGUAUUAUAUAUUAUUAUUACAUUUAUGUAUGUACACGCAUAUGUAGGUUAAUAUACAUAUAUGUAUAUGUUUUAAAUGAUUUUAAAUACAUAUGUAUACUUUAUAUAUCUUAUUAUUAUUUUAUUUUCAUAAUUUUAUAUGUAUAUAUAUGCGUAUAUCUAUUUAUAUUUUAUACUAUUCAUACUUUUUAUAUUUUACAUUUUAUACGUUUGUAUAUAUAUAUUUACAUACUAUUCUUUUAUAUUUUAAAUUUUAUAUUUUAUUUUAUUUAUAUAAUAUAUAUUCAUACACCAUUCAAAACUAUUAUAAGAAUUUUUUUUAUAUACCCAUAUAUCCAUAUUUUUAUAAUCUACUAAUAUAUUAUAUUUAUACAUUUUUAUGUUUAUUAUUUCUAAAAUGUAUAUAUAUUUUAUUAUUAAUUCAUUUUCGUGAUUUUUGUAUACGCAUAAAUGCACAAGCAUUUUAUCAUACUUUUAAAGAAAAUAUGUUUUGGUUUCGUUAGCAUUAAAAUUGUUUUUUUCUUAAAAAAUUAAAUAUUUGGCAAUCAUGAUUCUCGAGAAAGAUCGUGUCCUAACUUACUGGAUCGUGAUCAUUUUUUUCGAUGAAUUUAGCAAGCUAAGUAUUUAUUUCACAAUAAAUUUGCAAUUUUCAAAUAAAAGCUUAUUCUCGGGAAUGUAAAAUGUCGGGUCCUAACUUACUGGUCAUGACAUUUCGUCAUCUCGAAAUAAGAAUUUCUAAAACAAAAAGCAAUAUUCGGUAUUUUGAAGAUUUAAAAUAUUGUGCCCUAACUUCCUGGGUGUGGUGUUUUAUUUCUUUGAAAUGAGAAUGUUUUAUCAUUUUAAUACAUUCACGGGUUAAAUUUUUUCUCUCUUUUCAAAUUUUUGACACUAAGAUAUUAAAUAAUCAAUUUGGUACCAAUUUUGGGCGUUACGAGGGUGCUAAUCCUUCCUUGUGCGUAACUGACUCACGAGCCUGUUUUCUCAAAGUUCGUAGACCAAAAUCAUUUUUAAGGUGAGCCAAUCACACCUCAAUCAAGGAUCGGUGGCAACUCCAAUUUUUGUUUUUAAAGUCGAUAACUUAUUUUUGUUUUCAAAAAAAUGGUUUCGACAGCUUGGCGACUCCACUGGGGACCUUUUGAGAGUCGAGCCAUGAAUUGAUUAUCUUCUGUCUUUUAUUGUCGAAAAUCUAAAGUUGUUUUAAAACCGGAUUUUCCCUUUGCAUUCAUUAGUUUUAAUUGUCAUAUGCUUGUUUAGUUGGUUUAAGUCUGUUGGUUUAUUUGCAUUUUUGCAUUUCAUGGUCAAUUUUUACCCCUCUAAGUGGGAGUGAGAAACUAGUCCUUCGUGAGGUUUUCACCUCCGUGCAGGAUAGUGGAUCGCUUUCGGAAUACAUCUGUACCUGUGUCUUCGUGAGAUUUUCAUCUUCGUGCAGCCAUAGGGAAAUGUAUUUCCCUGAACCGAACUUGGUCCAUAUGAGCCUAUAAUGGGUGAGGAUCGAGGAAUCUGCUGGUUCAGGUACCCUUGCUCUAGAAGCCAAAACCUCAUAUAGUGAACCUUAGGAAUCCACCCUAGGUAGAAUUACUUUGAACCUUAGUAGAUACCUAAAUUAGGAGUUUUUACUAUUUCUUGGUUGUAUUGUAUUUAAUUGUUAUUGACUUUUUGUGUUUUACUCUGAUUGCAUGGCAUUAAAAUUAUCUGGCAUUCCAUUAUAAAGAGGCGUUGGUUCGUAUUCAGUUGCUAGACAGAAAGUUUAUCGUGGGAAAUGGGUUUCUUGAUAAAGUGAAAGAUAAUACGGCUGCCUGAAUAUAUUCCGAGAAACGCAAGAAGGGUGAUGGAGGAAUACAUGACUUUACUUCGUGCCUCAAGGUCAAGUUGAUUAUUCAAGAGUUUCUGACAUUCCAACUCCCUUAAAGAUGUUGAGGAGCAUUACGGGGAUUGGUAGACGUUGGAUCAUAACCAGGAUCAAGCAAAAAGGAGGUAGAAAAGAUACCCCUUUUGAAGAAUUUACAAGAUUUAUCUUAGCAUCGAGAUGAAGAAGGAGAAGAUGUCUUCGCCUGGAGUAUGAGGGCAAAGUCGUAUAUAUAUAUAUCCGCUUUAUGUAAAGAAAUUUGUCUUUUAGUAAAGUUUUCUAAAUGGAAUUGAAUUAGAAUCAACGUCUCUUUUUGCAUUCAUCUCAUGAAUUUGCAUUACAUUGCAUCAUAUGCACUAAAAUCCACCAAAAAAGCCUAAUUGAGUAAAAUUAUUUCAGUUAAUUUGGAAAACCAACAUCCUCACGGCAUCCAAGCAAAGACUAGAGAAAUGGACCAAAGUUUGAAGAAAUUAGAGCAAAUGCAAGUGCAGAUACAGGAGCAAUUGACCAAAUUUCAGCAAGAUAUGAUAGAUCAGUUGUUAGAAUUCCAAAGAAAUAUAAUGUGCCAGUUAACCCAAUUAUUGGCUAAAGGGUUAGAAAGAGGAAAGACCCCAGUGGCCCAUUUUGGGGAUAAUAAUGAGGACUCCACAUAUCAUUCAGGCUUCACCCCAACAAAUACCCAAGCACAACCAAAUGUAUAUCCACAAAGGGUAAUUGUUAACAUCCGACCCCAAUAUCAGACCAGCACCUCGACACCGGUGAAUUUCCAGAUUGGCUCAGGUUCCAACUCGAUAGGCAAUUCAACUAAUCCUAUUGUCAUUGAUGAUCAAGUAGAAACAGAACAGACGAGGGUGGAGUUCCUAAAAUAGUUUAAAGAUCGUUACAAACGGAAGGGGCGAGAGUGGAACUCUCAAAUCAAUACUUUAGAGGCCCCAAGGAAGAAGGGGAAUAAGGGGGAUAAUGUAGGCAGAUAUAACAAGGGUCACUCAAAACCAGUCACUGUGGGCUAGCCAAAGACAGAAAUCACCAGCCGUCAGAGCCCUUGAAAGCAAGAAUCUUACAUGAAGUCAAAUGCAGAAGGGCCUCAGUUUACACCUAUACCGAUUCAUAUAGCGAGCUAUAUCAAAACCUAUUUAAUGCACAUGUCGUGUCCCCCUUCUAUUUAAAACCAAUGUUGCCCCCAUUUCCUAAAUGGUAUAAUACAAAUGAUCAGUGUGAAUACCAUGCAGGAAUUACGGGGCAUUCGAUAGAAAAUUGCACCGCUUUCAGGAAAUUGGUUGAAAGGCUCAUCAACAUAGGCAUUGUCAAAUUUAAUGAUUCAUCCAGUGCAGAAAAUCUGCUACCCAAUCAUGAUUGAUAAUGGGGUGAAUGUGAUGUAUGAGGAAGUGUUGAGAGGUGUUCACAUCAGUGCCAUAUAUGAAGACACAAUUGAAAAGGGUCCUUUUUAGAUAUCUAUCCUUGUAAACUUGGGAGUGUCCUAAAUAAUCGGAUUGUAGAAGAAAUCUCUAUAGUAUUUAGAGCUUGCUUAGAGUAAUGUUCAAAACACACUUGUUGCUUUUAGCCUAGAGGCAAUAAGAAUUCCUUUGUGAAGUAGGCUCAUGUCUAAAUGUCGUUAUUUUAAUGAAAUGCAUCCUUGCGAUCAUUUUUGAACAGUAUUCUUUCAGUCUGUCUGAAUAGUUAUUCUUUCAUUCUUUUGGGUUUUCUUCCACAUCAUUCAUUCAUUCAUAAUCAUAUUGUACAGAUAAAUUUAUACAUUCUUUUGUAUAUUUUUUGGUAUUUAUUAUGGGCCCCCAGAUAUCAAUGACUUGAAUGACACUGCCACAGAUUUAGAAUCUCCUUUGGAGCAAGACAUGUGUUUAGAGGGAUCUCAUGACUUUGAAGAUGACAUAGAUCGUAGUCUAUCUCCAGACUUGUUGAGGAUGGUAGAGUAAGAAGUGAACAAAUUUACCUCAUGAGGAGACAAUGGAGAUUGUAACCUUGAGGGAACAUGCAUAACCGGAGAAACAAAGUAAGACCUUGUUGAGUUACCUUAAGGGUUCAAAGAUGUUAUCGCAUGGUCAUACCAGGACGUGCUCGAGUUAAGUACUGAUAUUGUAAUUUGAGCAACAGCACAACGUCAAAAAUUUGUAGUAUGUUCAAGAUUCACAUCAUGAACAAUGCAGUUAGAAUUCUUUGCUGGGGCAAUACCUUCUUCUCUGGCUUAUCUUGUUGAAGUCAAGUUGUCAUUUUUCCGUAUUUUUGUUGGAUUGCAUCCUAAUUGAGGAGGAAGAUCUAAAAUUUUCUCGUCAUGGAUAAAUUUCGCCCCAAAAGGCUCUAUGAGAGAAACCUGAUACCAAAGAAGAUCUUUCGCAUACAAAAUGAAAGUAGAAGAUCUUAUGGGGAAGACCUUAUCCGGAAUAAUAUUGAUUCUGAUAGAAAGGGAUGACUAGGACUUGCCUAAUACUAUGAGUGCAGAUUCAAUGCAAAAAAAAAAGAAACAAAAAACCUCUACCGGGGCAAUGUCUUCCUCUUUAGCUUAUCACGAUUUUUCCAUUAAAGUUAAAAUUCUUUCUCUUCGAGUAUUGGCUGAGCUGAAGUAGGAUGAAGAUCCAAUCUUGAUACGAUCAGUUGAACUUAAUUGAAGAAAAUUGGCUAAAAGCUAUUCGUCAUGGCCAGAUGUACCAAAAAUGGAUGAUGCGAGCUUACAACAAAAAAGGGUUCGUCCCAGAAAAUUUCAUGAGGGAGACCUGGUAUUGAAAAAGAUCCUUCCUUUACAAAAAGAUUUUAGAGAAAAAUGAAUGCCAAAUUGGGAAUGUCCUUAUGCUGUAAAGAAGACCUUUUCUGGAGGAGCACUGAUCUUGAGUGAGAUAGAUAGUAAAAACUUAUCUAAUCCUGUAAACUCAGAAGCAGUCAAGAAAUACUUCGCUUAAAGAAGGAGAGGACCACGGUAAAAACCUGCAAAAGACACUUUGAGUCGCAAAAAAAAAAAGAAAAUAAUAAUAAUAAUGGAAAAAUGAAAAAUGAAAAAUGGAAAAAGUAAAAAUGGAGAGGCUAAGGUGAAAACCCGCAAAGGGCGCCUUAGACCAAAGGAGAUUUGAGUUGAAAACUCGAAAAGGGCGGCUCAAAUUUUGAUCAGAAUAGGGCUGGAAGUGAUCAGAGUGGCUCAGAUUUUGAUUGGAUUGGGGCAUGUGGUGGUCUUGAUAUACCUGAAUCAGCAGGAAAGGGUAUGCGACAUCUUAGGGCAUCAACAGAGUAUUGUAGAUAUCCUAAACACAUGUCAAACUUAGAAUGGUCUUCAGGAAGUUUGUACAGAGAAGUUCAAGCUGCGUUAUCUAGGGCACCUAGUCUUCAUACUAUUUAUAUUGAAUUGUCUGUUCUUGGAAUACUUUAUUCUUUUUCAAGAUACGAGUCAAUUCCUCUCAUAUUCUUAAUAUUCUUGAUAAUAUGUUCAUUUCAUGCUAUGUUCUCAAACCAAUUCUAUCUUUUAUUUUAUUCUUUUUGCAAACGUGUUGCAUUAGAAUAAUGAUCAAUGGACUAAUAAAACUUUCAUAAGGGAAGUUUUGCAUAUUACUCUAGAAGUUUCUAAAUAAUACAGUAACCUGAAACAGGACUAUUAUUUAAAACGCACCAAGUUUAAAGGUUGAAAUAUCUGGGAAUGAAAGGUCUAAAUUGAGACUAUCCCUUCAGAUUUUGUUGUCAAAGCAUUGAUUGAACGAAAUGACAAGAUGUCGUGUCGGUGAUAAGGCUUCAAUGAACAAGCGAACAAUGAUCACCAAGCAAUAGGAAGAUGUUCCUCGAAGAAGAAAGCAUUCAUUUGUGCAUGAGCAUUUGGUAUGACACCUUGGAAAUGGUGUAAAGAAACAAAGAGUUUCACAUUCUAUAUCCUUGAAUUGCGAUAGGAGAGGAUUGAGAAAAGACCAGAUUCUUCUACCAUUGGGUUACAGCGAGAGAAAGAUGGUACCAAUGUUACAUCCCAGUAGAUUGAACUUUGAAGUUUACAGUGGGGGCAAGUUGAUUAAGUGUUUCUUCGGAGAUGCUAGCUAAGCAAGAGGACGUUCUAGUGCGUCAGUAAUACAGUUUCAAUAAACUUUGAGUAAUGAUAACCUAAGCUUUAAAGAGGGAUCAUUCUCGAAAAAUGACAUUUGGCACUCAUUCAAAUGUCAUUCAUACACGUCUAGUUAGGAACAUUUGAUUCAUUUUGAUCAUGACAUCCUAAUCACUAGGCAUAAUUAGGUUCAUAACUUGAAUUUUACAGGUCAUGUUCCCUAGAGAACAAACCGAUAAAACUUCAGCCUUAUCUUCUUGAACAGCAGUGGAGUAGGUUGAAAAUAGUAGAUUUUUAUUUCCUUAGCGUUGUAGCGGAGCAGAUUGAAGUCACAACGGCGGAUCUGGUUUCCCCGACAGCGCAAUUAAAAGAUUGAAGCCACAACGACGGAUCUUACUUCCUUGGCGAUGCAGUGGAGCAGAUUGAAGUCACAACGGCGGAUCUGGUUUCCCCGAUAGUGCAAUUAAAAGAUUGAAGCCACAACGGCAGAUCAUACUUCCUUGGCGAUGCAGUGGAACAGAUUGAAGUCACAACGGCAGAUUUGGUUUCCCCGACAGCGCAAUUAAAAGAUUGAAGCCACAACGGUGGAUCUUACUUCCUUGGCGAUGAGUGGAGCAGAUUGAAGUCACAACGGUGGAUCUUGUUUCCCUGACAGUGCAAUUAAAAGAUUGAAGCCACAACGGCAGAUCUUACUUCCCUGGCGGUGCAGCAGAGCAGAUUGAAGUCACAACGACAGAUCUGGUUUCCCUGACAGUGCAAAGAUUGAAGCCAAAACGGCAGAUCUUACUUCCCUAGCGGUGCAGCGGAGCAGAUUGAAGUCACAACGGCAGAUCUGAUUUUCCCGACAACGCAAGGAUUAAAGCCACAGCGGCGGAUCUUACUUCCCUGGCGAUGCAGUGGAGCAGAUUGAAGUCACAACGGCGGAUCUGGUUUCCCCGACAGUCCAAUUAAAAGAUUGAAGCCACAACAGCGGAUCUUACUUCCCUGGCGGUGCAGUAGAGCAGAUUGAAGUCACAGCGGCAGAUCUAGUUUCCCCGACAGCGCAAUUAAAAAGAUUGAAGCCACAACGGCGGAUCUUACCUCCUUAGCAGUGCAGUUGAACAGAUUGAAGCUACGACGGCGGGUCUUGUUUCCUCGACAUUGUAAUUAGAUAAAUUGAAUAAGAUAAUCCUAUCCCCCUGAAGAUGCAGUGGAGCGGAUUAACACCAUCGAUCUUACCUUUCUGAAAUUGCAGUAAAGCAGAUAGUAUCAUACUCAUCUUUGAAGUUGCAGUAGAAUAAGUUAAAGUUACGAGUCUUAUCUCCCUGAAGUUACGGUGGAGCAGACUAGAGAUUGCAAGUUUUGUUCUUUUGAAAAGCCACAAGAUACAAGUCCUAUCUCUUUGAUGUUGCAGUGGAGUGGAUUGAAGCAUUGAUUCCUAUACCUCUGCAGAUGCAGUAGAUUGGAACGAGGCUACUUGAAGAGCGCUAAGGUCCAGUAUGCCCGAGCAAAAUUGGCCAUCUUAAAGUUUUUGCUCUGUUCCCGUUACACGACAACGAGCAAAGAGGGGUAGCUGUAAUAGCCCAUUUUUUUCUGGCCCAUUCAAAAUAAGACCAACCCAAAAUCAUAACACUGCCCAAAUUAAAUACAAUUAAAUCCAAUAAAACUUGGGCCAAGCUUAACCCAAUUACAGGGCCCAAUUAACCCACUAGCCUAAAACACAAAACAGAGAAACCUAGCAGCAAAAUCAGCAGCCGCGAAAACCUCACCCACGCCUCAACAUCGCCCCACGUCCAGCACUUUGCGCACGUUCUCCACGA
rnacentral:lncRNA from 1 species